UACGCAGGCGGAUAUUUAAGUCAAAUGUGAAAGGCGUCGGCUCAACCGGCGGAUUGCAAUUGAAACUGGAUAUCUUGAGUACAGUAGAGGAGAGUGGAAUUCCUGGAGUAGCGGUGAAAUGCGUAGAUAUCAGGAAGAACACCAGUGGCGAAGGCGGCUCUCUGGACUGAUACUGACGCUGAGGUACGAAAGCUGGGGGAGCAAACG
rnacentral:rRNA from 1 species